ACGGACGAUAGUCUUCAGCGGCC
rnacentral:miRNA from 1 species